UUCGGGGUACUCGAGCGGCGAACGGGUGAGUAACACGUGAGCAACCUGCCCCAGGCUUUGGGAUAACCCCGGGAAACCGGGGCUAAUACCGAAUAUGACCUUGCACCGCAGGGUGUUUGGUGGAAAGUUUUUCGGCUUGGGAUGGGCUCGCGGCCUAUCAGCUUGUUGGUGGGGUGAUGGCCUACCAAGGCGACGACGGGUAGCCGGCCUGAGAGGGCGACCGGCCACACUGGGACUGAGACACGGCCCAGACUCCUACGGGAGGCAGCAGUGGGGAAUAUUGCACAAUGGGCGGAAGCCUGAUGCAGCGACGCCGCGUGAGGGAUGACGGCCUUCGGGUUGUAAACCUCUUUCAGCAGGGACGAAGCGUAAGUGACGGUACCUGCAGAAGAAGCGCCGGCCAACUACGUGCCAGCAGCCGCGGUAAGACGUAGGGCGCGAGCGUUGUCCGGAUUUAUUGGGCGUAAAGAGCUCGUAGGCGGCUUGUCGCGUCGACUGUGAAAACCCGCAGCUCAACUGCGGGCCUGCAGUCGAUACGGGCAGGCUAGAGUUCGGUAGGGGAGACUGGAAUUCCUGGUGUAGCGGUGAAAUGCGCAGAUAUCAGGAGGAACACCGGUGGCGAAGGCGGGUCUCUGGGCCGAUACUGACGCUGAGGAGCGAAAGCGUGGGGAGCGAACAGGAUUAGAUACCCUGG
rnacentral:rRNA from 1 species